UUAUUGGGCGUAAGAGCUCGUAGGCGGUUUGUCGCGUCUGCUGUGAAAGACCGGGGCUCAACUCCGGAUCUGCAGUGGGUACGGGCAGACUAGAGUGCAGUAGGGGAGACUGGAAUUCCUGGGGUAGCGGUGAAAUGCGCAGAUAUGCAGGAGGAACACCGAUGGCGAAGGCAGGUCUCUGGGCUGUAACUGACGCUGAGGAGCGAAAGCAUGGGGAGCGAACAGGAUUAGAUACCCUGGUAGUCCCUGCCGUAAACGUUGGGCACUAGGUGUGGGGGACAUUCCCCGUUUUCCGCGCCGUAUCUAACGCAUUACGCGCCCCGCCUGGGGAGUACGGCCGCAAGGCUAAAACUCAAAGGAAUUGACGGGGCCCCGCACAAGCGGCGGAGCAUG
rnacentral:rRNA from 1 species